UACAGAGGUCUCAAGCGUUGUUCGGAUUCACUGGGCGUAAAGGGUGCGUAGGUGGUCAGGUAAGUCUGAUGUGAAAUCUCUGAGCUCAACUCAGAAAUGGCAUUGGAUACUAUCUGGCUAGAGGGUCGGAGGGGGGACUGGAAUUCUCGGUGUAGCAGUGAAAUGCGUAGAUAUCGAGAGGAACACCAGUGGCGAAGGCGAGUCCCUGGACGACUCCUGACACUGAGGCACGAAAGCUAGGGGAGCAAACAGG
rnacentral:rRNA from 1 species